UGCGGAGGGAUACUUACUGAGUUACCGCUCUAUAACCCUUUGUGAACAUACCUAACCGUUGCUUCGGCGGGCAGGGGAAGCCUCUCGCGGGCCUCCCCUCCCGGCGCCGGCCCCACCACGGGGACGGGGCGCCCGCCGGAGGAAACCAAACUCUAUUUACACGACGUCUCUUCUGAGUGGCACAAGCAAAUAAUUAAAACUUUUAACAACGGAUCUCUUGGUUCUGGCAUCGAUGAAGAACGCAGCGAAAUGCGAUAAGUAAUGUGAAUUGCAGAAUUCAGUGAAUCAUCGAAUCUUUGAACGCACAUUGCGCUCGCCAGCAUUCUGGCGAGCAUGCCUGUUCGAGCGUCAUUUCAACCCUCAAGCACCGCUUGGUUUUGGGGCCCCACGGCACACGUGGGCCCUUAAAGGUAGUGGCGGACCCUCCCGGAGCCUCCUUUGCGUAGUAACUAACGUCUCGCACUGGGAUCCGGAGGGACUCUUGCCGUAAAACCCCCCAAUUUUUUACAGGUUGACCUCGGAUCAGGUAGGAAUACCCGCUGAACUUAAGCAUAUCAAUAAGCCG
rnacentral:rRNA from 1 species